rnacentral:rRNA from 1 species
UUUUAGAAUACAAACAACAAAUAAAAUUAAGCCCUAGCUAAGCUGUAAAAAGCCUCAGCUACUGUAAGAUAUACAACGAAAGUGAUUUUAAAGAAAUCUGAUUACACGAUAGCUAAGACCCAAACUGGGAUUAGAUACCCCACUAUGCUUAGCCCUAAACAUAAAAAAUUAUAAACAAAAUUAUUCGCCAGAGUACUACUAGCAAUAGCUUAAAACUCAAAGGACUUGGCGGUGCUUACAUCCCUCUAGAGGAGCCUGUUCUAUAAUCGAUAAACCCCGAUCUACCUCACCAAUCUUUGCUAAAUCAGCCUAUAUACCGCCAUCUUCAGCAAACCCUAAAAAGGAAUUAAAGUAAGCACAAGUAUUAACAUAAAAA